UACGGAGGAUCCGAGCGUUAUCCGGAUUUAUUGGGUUUAAAGGGUGCGUAGGCGGCUUUGUAAGUCAGGGGUGAAAGACGGUAGCUCAACUAUCGCAGUGCCUUUGAUACUGCAGGGCUUGAAUGUACUUGAGGUAGGCGGAAUGUGACAAGUAGCGGUGAAAUGCAUAGAUAUGUCACAGAACACCAAUUGCGAAGGCAGCUUACUAAAGUAUGAUUGACGCUGAGGCACGAAAGCGUGGGGAUCAAACAGG
rnacentral:rRNA from 1 species